rnacentral:lncRNA from 1 species
GGAGGGUGAUCCAAGAUCUCUUGCUAGAUCGGUGAUUUCCACAGAAGAAUUGUUAUUUUUGGAUAUAUAUCCACCUCCACGUGAUUGUUGCUUCUUACCACACGCCGAUUUUGCAGCCCCUGUGCCACCAAUACUGCCAGGACGCCGAAUACCCUUCCCACCAGACUGUCCACCACUUCUUCCUUUGCCUGGACCUUCUACAAAAUCGUCGUCGUCGUCCGUCACGCAA